rnacentral:rRNA from 1 species
UUCGGAAUGAAGUUUUUGUGACUGAGUGGCGGACGGGUGAGUAACGCGUGGGUAACCUGCCUCAUACAGGGGGAUAACAGUUGGAAACGACUGCUAAUACCGCAUAAGCGCACAAUGUUGCAUGACAUGGUGUGAAAAACUCCGGUGGUAUAAGAUGGACCCGCGUCUGAUUAGCUAGUUGGUGAGAUAACAGCCCACCAAGGCGACGAUCAGUAGCCGACCUGAGAGGGUGACCGGCCACAUUGGGACUGAGACACGGCCCAGACUCC